UUCAGAUGUUGUGUCUCUGUUUGCCUCCAGUGCGCUGAGAGCAGAGAAAUAAUUUCCAUAGAGAGGAGGCUUUGCAUGGUCAGCUGAUCCUCCAGGGAACUGAGAAGGUUUAUAGUCCUGAGAGUUCAACACUGCAGGACUCUGAUCUGUCAGUCAAGCAGCAGAAACAACAAGCACCAUGACUCUCAUCUCCAUCCUCAUCUGGACGCUGACCUGCUGCUGUUUUGCAGGAUGCAGCGCUCAGGUGACUGUGACUCAGCCUCCAGUGGAGACAUUUACUCCAGGAUCAAAUGUCACUAUUCGAUGUACAACAAAUCCUGCUGUUUAUCUUGAUUUUUCAAUGUCGUGGUAUCAGCAAAAACCAGGACAGCCUCCAAAGCUCCUGAUAUAUCUGAGAACUUUAACCAUCACUGGAGUUCAGGCUGAAGAUGCUGCAGUUUAUUACUGUCAGAGUUAUCAUAGAGGUCGUGUGUUCACACAGUGAUUUCUAGCUGUACAAAAACCUCCCUCAGUCAGACUGCAGACACACUGAGCUGUUAGAGCAGAAACUGACUGCAGCUGCUGAGGAGGAAGAGACCCUGAUACAGACCACUGAACACAGAGCUGACAGAAA